CCUACGGGUGGCAGCAGUGAGGAAUAUUGGUCAAUGGACGCCAGCCUGAACCAGCCAUGCCGCGUGAAGGAUGAAGGCUCUAUGGUUUUUAAACUUCUUUUGUAUGGGGGUAAACUGAGGAACGUGUCCCUUUUUGUAUGUACCUUAUGAAUAAGCAUCGGCUAACUCCGUUCCAGCAGCCGCGGUAAUACGGAGGAUGCGAGCGUUAUCCGGAUUUAUUGGGUUUAAAGGGUGCGUAGGUGGUUAGUUAAGUCAGAGGUGAAAGUUUGGGGCUCAACCCGGAAACUGCCUUUGAAACUGGUUGACUUGAGUAUAGUUGAGGUAGGCGGAAUGCGUGGUGUAGCGGUGAAAUGCAUAGAUAUCACGCAGAACACCGAUUGCGAAGGCAGCUUACUAAACUAUAACUGACACUGAGGCACGAAAGCGUGGGGAGCAAACAGGAUUAGAUACCCGGGUAGUC
rnacentral:rRNA from 1 species